UGUUAUCCCAUACUUAUGUUUAUGCCACGCUUUAUCAGGUCCUUUGAUUGCUUGUUUGAGAGUGGGUGAAUGCAUUGUGCAAAUAUCCAUGAUCUGGUUAUAACUAAUACUCUAAUAGUCAAUUAUUGUAAAUUAAGUGAUGAUUUUAGGCUGAUUAAUCAAUGAGACCAGUCCAAUACCCCGAUUCACUAGUGACUCG
rnacentral:lncRNA from 1 species